rnacentral:lncRNA from 1 species
UUCUCACUUUCUCUCUCUACUUUCUCUAUACAAAAGACCCACUUUCUCUCUCUAUAAGUUUUUCUCUCUAAAUUUGUCUCUCUCUAGAUUAUGUCUCUCUUCUGAAGUUUUCUAGAUCUUAGAAAGAUCUUCUAAUAGCUUUGAUAGGUCCUUGUGAAGGGAUCUUGAUCUUUGAUUGUUGAGUAGGUUGUCGGUCUCCACCUUG